CAACAGGGAUUGCCCUAGUAACGGCGAGUGAAGCGGCAACAGCUCAAAUUUGAAAGCUAGCCUUCGGGUUCGCAUUGUAAUUUGUAGAGGAUGAUUUGGGGAAGCCGCCUGUCUAAGUUCCUUGGAACAGGACGUCAUAGAGGGUGAGAAUCCCGUAUGUGACAGGAAAUGGCACCCUAUGUAAAUCUCCUUCGACGAGUCGAGUUGUUUGGGAAUGCAGCUCUAAAUGGGAGGUAAAUUUCUUCUAAAGCUAAAUAUUGGCGAGAGACCGAUAGCGCACAAGUAGAGUGAUCGAAAGAUGAAAAGCACUUUGGAAAGAGAGUUAAAAAGCACGUGAAAUUGUUGAAAGGGAAGCGCUUGCAAUCAGACUUGUUUAAACUGUUCGGCCGGUCUUCUGACCGGUUUACUCAGUUUGGACAGGCCAGCAUCAGUUUCGGCGGCCGGAUAAAGGCUCUGGGAAUGUGGCCUCCACUUCGGUGGAGGUGUUAUAGCCCAGGGUGUAAUACGGCCAGCCGGGACUGAGGUCCGCGCUUCGGCUAGGAUGCUGGCGUAA
rnacentral:rRNA from 1 species